GCACAGUAACGUUAGUCCCAAAGAGACUUUUCUGUUUGUCAAGCUGCAGGCAGAAGAUGUUUGUUGCUGCUGAGGAGGAUGUUCCCUGGAGCUUAUGUUUUUUCCCAUAAAGAUGGGCGAUCUGGACAUUUAUUCCAGCAACGAAGAAUUUAAGCCCAUCUGAAUGUAACACUUCAUUGGUCCACCGAUGACCGUUCCUCAUUUGAUUCCAACAUAUCAGUGGACACCAGAGGAACAACCUGAUGUUUCUUUCAGUCCAAACGCAGUAAAAGGAAGCAACAGAAAGAGAAGGAGAGACAAUCACAGUCAGAAAGACCUCAAGAGACAGCGCUUCGUUUCUUCAGGUCCUCAUAACCAGCCUGCUAGAAAUGCCAACUUUACCUCCAAACCGGCGGCUGAAACAGUGACAAGCAGAGAAACAUCUCGGUUACCAUCCCCACAUGCUCAUCAGCCGCCUCUAAACCCGAAGGCUGUGUUCCAUCUUUGAGAGAAGGAUCCCAUCAUAGAGCCUUUCCCCCGUCAUCAGUCAGUGAUAAGCUAAGUCAACAGAUUCUUGACCUGUUUCAUGCUUGUGAGCAACAGAAAGAUGUUCUGGAGAAGAAGGAACAUUGCCGAGCAGCACUGCAGAGGGACAUCCAGACAAUCUUCCCAAGUGCACAAGUCUUCAUGGCCGGGUCAUCUCUAAAUGGCUUUGGUACUCGCAGCAGUGAUGCUGAUCUUUGUCUUGUCAUUGAAGAGGGAACGGUAAACCACAGAACAGAUGCUGUAUAUGUUCUAAGUCUUGUGUGGAAAUUGUUUUACACACUGUGUAAGUGAUCUGUCAUACAUACAUCAUUAAACAUACAGAAGUUUCCCUUUGUACUUGACUUUGUUUCAUCCACUAAUGGCAUUACUGCUGAGAGACCUCAGCUCAUCAGAGCCAAAGUGCCCAUUCUGAAAUCCAGUCAGGUGAGCCAAAUCAGAGAUAGGUGUGUCUACACUUCUGUUCAAUAAUUUUUUUAAGUAAAUUAAUACGUUUAUUUAGCAAGGAUGCAUUAAAUUUAUCAAAAGUGAUGGUAAAGACUCCUCUCCUGUGCCACUGCACAAAGGAACAAAACACACACAAAAAAAAACAUUAAAUCAGUGCAAAUAGUUUUAAUAAAGUUCAUAUAGUUUUCCGUGCAAAUUGAACAGUUUUAAGUCAGUAUGUGAGGAUCACUGCUACAUUCUUAAGAUCUUUAAAUCACUCAGCAGCACUUCAAAAAGAAUAAGCAUAUCCACUUUUUCAGGAGAUAAACUGUCUUAAGUAGCAUGAUGCUACAGUGUGAAUGAAUGGUCACAUAACACACGUUUUCCUUGACACCUCACCAGAGCCAAUCAACAGCACAUGAUUAAGGCACAUCAAGCAUGCUGCUUGCUUACUGGCUGUGUGUUUGAGUAAACUCAAUUUGGUGUACUCAUUCCUGACAACUUGAGUAACUAACAUAAGCAUCUCAGUAUUUUACAGUAAUGAUGUAAUAUGCUAUAUGUAUUUCAACAGAAAUUCAGAGUAAAAUCUUAAAAGUAAGUAUUGCAGAAUAUAAGAAAGCAUGUAUGAGUUAUCACCAAAACAGAUCAUUUCAGCAUUGUUAAACAGGAGUAAAAUAAUUGUUAUGCAAUCUUUCUGCAUUUACACUUGUCUAUAUUCUCAUACAGAGCUACUUCCUCCUUUUAAGGAAGCUAGAGUUGUCAUGGGGAAUGGGGAAAUAAGGUCUACAGAACAAAUGGAAUUUGUAGUAACUUUUGCUAAAUACUAUUCUGAUCUUAUUAAUGUACAAGGUCUGUUUAAACAGCAGGUGAGGUUAUUUUUGGUGUUUAUUGUUCAUUUACAGUCCUACCAGGUUGUGCAGCUGAGCAAAGAUCUCAACUCUAUCCUGCCUCUUAAACAAAACAAGACCAAAAAGAUAGCAUGACCCCAGAUAAGAAUAAACUUACAGAAUGGAUUAAACUUGGAGUCUUCAGUGAUAAAUUAUAAGAAGAAAUGCUUUGCUCCUUUACAAGGGGCUUCUGGGUGUGCUGGACCUUUUGGAAUGUGUUGAGCCAAAUCUGUUGAGCUGACGAGGAUAUUAUCUAGUCCCUAGUCAGAAACAUCAGUGUCUAUGUUUGAGUUUUACAUGUAACAUCAGACACUUUGCAAUAUCUUUUACCCAUAUGGUACACAGUCUGCAUUCAGGAAAUUAAUUUACUGUUGCAAUUUUUUUCUGUCAACUGACUACUUUUUACUUAUAUUUCUGUUGUAUUUUUAUGAUCUGUCAUGUUUUGUAUAGUUUGUACAGUCUUUUAAAAUGUUUAUUUAAAUGAUUAAA